rnacentral:rRNA from 1 species
UAAGCACCGGCUAACUACGUGCCAGCAGCCGCGGUAAUACGUAGGGUGCAAGCGUUAAUCGGAAUUACUGGGCGUAAAGCGUGCGCAGGCGGUUGUGCAAGACAGAUGUGAAAUCCCCGGGCUUAACCUGGGAACUGCAUUUGUGACUGCACGGCUAGAGUGCGGCAGAGGGGGAUGGAAUUCCGCGUGUAGCAGUGAAAUGCGUAGAUAUGCGGAGGAACACCGAUGGCGAAGGCAAUCCCCUGGGCCUGCACUGACGCUCAUGCACGAAAGCGUGGGGAGCAAACAGGAUUAGAUACCCUGGUAGUCCACGCCCUAAACGAUGUCAACUGGUUGUUGGGAGGGUUUCUUCUCAGUAACGUAGCUAACGCGUGAAGUUGACCGCCUGGGGAGUACGGCCGCAAGGUUGAAACUCAAAAGGAAUUGACGGGGG